AUUGAACGCUGGCGGCAGGCCUAACACAUGCAAGUCGAACGAGUGGCGGACGGGUGAGUAAUGUAUGGGAAACUGCUUGAUGGAGGGGGUUAACUAUUGGAAACGGUAGCUAAUACCGCAUACCAUCGGAUGUGCCCAGAUGGGAUUAGCUAGUGGGUGGGGUAAAGGCUCACCUAGGCGACGAUCCCUAGCUGGUCUGAGAGGAUGAACAGCCACACUGGAACUGAGACACGGUCCAGACUCCUACGGGAGGCAGCAGUAGGGAAUAUUGCACAAUGGGCGCAAGCCUGAUGGAGCCAUGCCGCGUGUGUGAAGAAGGCCUUCGGGUUGUAAAGUACUGUCAGCGGGGAGGCGUUACCCGCAGAAGAAGCACCGGCUAACUCCGUGCCAGCAGCCGCGGUAAUAC
rnacentral:rRNA from 1 species